GAUGAACGCUGGCGGCGUGCCUAAUACAUGCAAGUCGAGCGAACGGACGAGAAGCUUGCUUCUCUGAUGUUAGCGGCGGACGGGUGAGUAACACGUGGAUAACCUACCUAUAAGACUGGGAUAACUUCGGGAAACCGGAGCUAAUACCGGAUGAUAUUUUGAACCGCAUGGUUCAAAAGUGAAAGACGGUCUUGCUGUCACUUAUAGAUGGAUCCGCGCUGCAUUAGCUAGUUGGUAAGGUAACGGCUUACCAAGGCAACGAUGCAUAGCCGACCUGAGAGGGUGAUCGGCCACACUGGAACUGAGACACGGUCCAGACUCCUACGGGAGGCAGCAGUAGGGAAUCUUCCGCAAUGGGCGAAAGCCUGACGGGGCAACGCCGCGUGAGUGAUGAAGGUCCUCGGAUCGUAAAACUCUGUUAUUAGGGAAGAACAUAUGUGUAAGUAACUGUGCACAUCUUGACGGUACCUAAUCAGAAAGCCACGGCUAACUACGUG
rnacentral:rRNA from 1 species